GCCAUGACAACAAUAAACUUGUGCUGGGACAGGAAAAAAUCCUGGUGAUCGUUAAUUUGAAUAUUAGUCAGAAGUGGUAAAUACUGUUAUAUAGAUAUAGUUGUAUAUAAAAAGAUGUCAAAUAAAGAACUAAUGUUAGCCGAUGUUGACGACGAUGAAGAAGAUGAUGACAAAGAAGUCGAUGAUGACACUAAGGACAUACACUUACCCUGUUUAUUGGAUACAGUUGGUCAAGAGAGUGAAGAGUCGUCGAGUCUCUGUACUGAUGGUAUAUUUCUAGAUGAUACCUAUUAUAAUGCUAAUACAAGUCACUCUCUUAGUCCCGAUACUUGGUCUAAUGAACCAGUCACUAACAUGUCGUUAGUUGUAGCAGAUGAAGUGAAUGGUAUACGUCUACAACAGAUUAUCUCCCCCUGUCUUCUGGAUCAUGAAAUACACACCUGUGAUUAUGACCAAGCAUAUGAUAUGUGUAGUAAGAAGGCCUAUUUAAUUAUAUGGUUGUAUUUGGGUAAUCCAGCCAGUCAGGAGGUGCUUGGUUUUACUACAUCUAUCAGAUAUGCUAGUAAGACCAAUCAUAAUACUGUUAUAUUAGGUGUAACACCUACCAGUCUUGAUG